CUCCUGUCUGCAUCUCUAGCUGCAGGGCCCUCAAACUAGAAUAUCAGCUCCUCCCCGAUUUUUCACCUGCAUGACCCUCAAACUAGAACAUCAGCUCCUGUACAGAUUUCCAACUGUAGGGCCCUCAAACUAGAACAUCAGCUCCUCCCCAAGUCAGCAGCUGCAAGACCCUCAAAUUAGCAACUCAGCUCCUCCCGGAGUCUUCAGCUGCAUGACCCUCAAUCUCGAAGAUCAGAUACUCUCCGGGUCUUCAGCUGUAGGGCCCUCAAACUAUAACAUCAGCUCCUCUCCGAGUAUUCAGCUGCACGACCCUCAAUCUCGAACAUCAGCACCUCUUCAGGUCUGCAGCUGUAGGGCCCUCAAUCUAGAACAUCAGCUCCUCCCUGAUCUUCAGCUGCACGACCCUCAAACUAGAACCUCAGCUCCUCCCUGAGUCUUCAGCUGCAUGACCCUUAAUCUAGAACAUCAGCUCCUCCCCGAGUCUUCAGCUGCACGACCCUCAAUCUAGAACAUCAGCUCCUCUCCAGGUCUGCAGCUGCAAGACCUUCAAACUAGAACAUCAGCUCCUCUCCAGGUCUGCAGCUGCAAGACCUUCAAACUAGAACAUCAGCUCCUCCCCGAGUCUUCACCUGCAUGACCCUCAAACUAGAACAUCAGCUCCUCUCCAGGUCUCCAGCUGCACGACCCUCAAAGUAGAACAUCAGCUCCUCUCCGGGUCUGCAG
rnacentral:lncRNA from 1 species